rnacentral:lncRNA from 1 species
AUCCCGUCGAUCCUCUGAUUCCUGCCCCACCCCCGUGCCCUGCUGUCCCUCUGUCCCUUCUGCACUGGGCUGUUCUCUUCCUGGCUGCCUGUCUGUCUGUCCUUCCGCUGCUGUCCCAUCCCACAUCUUAAUCCGACCUCACCCAUUCAUCCUUCCACAAUUUGUCCCUCCACGACCAUUCCUAUCUCCUACUCCCUACCCAACCAUCUAUCCCCACCCAUCCCCACCCAUCUGUCCAUCUGUCCCCAUCCAUCUCUCCAUCCAUCCUCAUCCAUCUGUCUAUUCCUCCAUCCCCAUCCCUCCAUCCCUAUCCAUCCCUACCCAUCCCCAUCCAUCCAUUCAUCCGUCCAUCCAUCCCCACCAAUCCUGAUCCAUCCCUCCAUCCCCAUCCAUCCAUCCCUGUCCAUCUGUUCAUCCCCGUCCAUCUAUCCAUACCCAUCCCCACCUAUCCCCGUCCAUCCGUCCAUCCAUUCCCGUCCAUCCAUCCCCACCAAUCCCCAUCCAUCCAUCCCUGUCCAUCUGUCCAUCCCUCCAUCCCUAUCCAUACCCAUCCCCACCAAUUCCCAUCCAUCCGUCCAUCCAUUCCCGUCCAUCCAUCCCCACCAAUCCCCAUCCAUCCAUCCCCGUCCAUCUGUCCAUCCCUCCAUCCCCAUCCCACCAUCCAUCCCUACUCAUCCCCAUCCAUCUGCCCAUCCAUCCCCAUCCAUCCAUCUCUACCCAUCCACGCGUCCAUCUACCCAUCCCCACCCCACCCUGUCCCCCGGUCCCCACCUGUCCGUCUGUCUGUCCGUCCGUCUCUCUCUCUCUGCCCCGGUCUCUCUUUCACCCCCAGAUUUUACCGCUGUGGUUCCAGAGACGCCGCGCCUGGACAGCAGCUUGCAGAAGGCCCGCGCCCGGCUGCUAGCCAAGAGCCGCCGGCACCGGCCCUCGCGCUCCCGCCUGCGAGACAGCGCCAGCUCCACCGAGGGCGAGGAGGGGCUGGAGGCGGCGGUGAGAGCCGGGGGGGCACCGCACCCCAGGGAGGAUCUGGGGAAGGGGAGCGCGGGAGGAAGGAGACACCUCUGGGAGGGGGGAACCGACAGGGGUUGGAGGCCCCCGGGGGAGACCGAUGGGGGAUUGACCCCCCCCCCCCCGCCUUGCCCUGUGCCCCCACCCAGGGAGCCGAGGGCAGCCCCGCAACCCCCGGCCGCUCGCCCCCCGCCGCGCCGCUGCUCCUGGCCCCCUCGCCCUCCUCCCGCUCGGAGUUCUCCUUCGAGGCGGGGGCGGUGUGCAGGGUGCUGGGGGACCCCCCCCCGGCCCCCUCGCCGCCCCUCGGCCGCUACCGGCCCCUCACCAACGCCUCGUCCCAGGAGGGGCUGGCGGGCACCCCCUCGCCCAAGUCCUGCCCCAGCUCCGACAGCUCGCCCGGCUUCGCCCGCCGCGAUGCGUGGCCCCAGCGGCACAGCGAAGAUGACAGCAGGGACAUGAGCCCCCCCGAGCCGGCCAGCCCCACGGUGGGGCUGGAUAAGAAGACCCGGAGAAAGUUCCUGGAUUUGGGGUGAGACCCAGAAUUGGGGAGGGAUGAAGGACGGAUGGUGGGGCAUGGUGGGAACGCGGAGGAGGGGUCUCCAUAGAGGUGGGGGGACGGAUGGAUGGACCUCUGAAGAUAGAUGGAUGUCUCUGAAAAUGGAUGGAAGGAGGAGGUCUGAAGAUGGAAGGAUGGAUGGGAGGGUCUCUGAAGGUGGGAGGAGGAAGAGAUGCAUGGGUAGAUGGGGGAGGGAAAAUGAAAAUGGAUGGGGAUGGAUGGAUGGGGAGGGUCUCUGUACAUGGAUGGGUGGAUGGAAGCAUCUGAAAAAGGAUGGAAGGAGGAGGUCUGAGGAUGGAGGAAUGGAUGGAUGGGUCUCUGAAGAUGGAUGGAGGGAAGUCUCCGAAAAUAGAAGGAAGGAGGAUGUCUGAAGAUAGAUGGAUGGAUGGAUGGAUGGAUGGAUGGAUGGAUGGAUGGGG